AUGGCAGAAUGCUUCAAUAAGGUGCUCAAGGGUGUACGUGCAUUACCCGUGACGGCAAUAGUUCAAUACACAUUUGAGAAGAUGAAUGGAUAAUUUUUGAAGUAUUCAAUGGAGACGGAUAAGCAGAUUGCUGGUGAGAACAAGGAUAAGCACAAGUACUAUUUCGCACCAAAGGUUGAAGAAUGGUUGGACUUUCAAUCACGAAAGGCAGACUCCCAAGAAGCUGUACUAUAUGACGACAACGAGUGGAAGUAUGAGGUGAAAGAGCCUGGAGGAACCACAAAUGAUGGCCACCAACACAGAGGCCGCGCUUUCAAGGUCUCCCUAACACGAUGUGAUUGCAGCUGCAUGAGGCCAUCGUUGCUUCAUCUCCCAUGCUCGCACUUGUUAAAUGCAGCCCAUGUUAGGAAUGUGGAUGUCAAUCACCCUCUUACCAUGAGGGAGUCCGGGUUCUCAAUCAUGACGGUAAAGAAUACAUGGGCUCCCCGGUUUCAGUCAUACUUGGACCAAUCACAAUGGCCGGAGUAUCAUGGAGUUCAACUAUGGCCGGACCCGGAAUUGAAGGUCGUUAGACGGGGAAGACGUAAGACAAAGCGUCUUAGAGGUGACAUGGACGGAUGGGGCCGUGGUGGCGGUGGAGAAUAA
rnacentral:rRNA from 1 species